rnacentral:tRNA from 1 species
AGCGAUACAACAGCCCGGUAGCUCGUCAGGCUCAUAACCUGAAGGUCGUCAGUUCAAAUCUGGCCCCCGCAACCA